rnacentral:ncRNA from 1 species
CGACCGGGACGGCCCGGCCGCUUCGCUGGGGCAUGGCCGGGACGACCUGG